CUCUACAAUGGAUGUGUGAUGUCAGAAUAGACCACUCUGCAAUGGUGGGGCCUACUCAGCUCUGAAAAUGCGAAGGAGUGUUGGAAGGAAACAAAGCUCGCAAGCACUGUAUAGGAGUUCUACUGUUCUUGUCCAUUUGGGGCGUCAGUGAAGCACACUGAGGCAGGGGCACAUCCAGGACUUUGCUCAUGCUCACACUCAUGGAGGUUGCUGAAGAUGUACAAAAAUGGAGAAGACAACGGAUACUGAGACAACAUUUGCUGGAAAUAUGUAGCUGGUAUCAUACUCUGUGGUGAGGCACAAGAGAGAUCGGCAGUAAGGCUGAGAAUGAAACAAGGACGUCCCUGUUCCAAUGGUGACCGAGCAUUGCUGGAC